GCACUACUGAGGAGUCCAACGAUAGGAUGAAACGGCCGUCUAGUGU
rfam:Schistosoma mattheei strain Denwood, Zambia genome assembly, scaffold: SMTD_scaffold0013686